rnacentral:rRNA from 1 species
UCGGGAAUUUUGGGCAAUGGGCGCAAGCCUGAUCCAGCCAUGCCGCGUGUGGGAAGAAGGCCUUCGGGUUGUAAACCACUUUUGUCAGGGAAGAAACGGCCUGAUCUAAUACAUUGGGUUAAUGACGGUACCUGAAGAAUAAGCACCGGCUAACUACGUGCCAGCAGCCGCGGUAAUACGUAGGGUGCGAGCGUUAAUCGGAAUUACUGGGCGUAAAGCGUGCGCAGGCGGCUUUGCAAGACAGAUGUGAAAUCCCCGGGCUCAACCUGGGAAUGGCAUUUGUGACUGUAGAGCUAGAGUACGGUAGAGGGGGAUGGAAUUCCGCGUGUAGCAGUGAAAUGCGUAGAUAUGCGGAGGAACACCGAUGGCGAAGGCAAUCCCCUGGACCUGUACUGACGCUCAUGCACGAAAGCGUGGGGAGCAAACAGGAUUAGAUACCCCGGUAGUCCCUGAGCGGGCUGGCAAGGCGC